rnacentral:misc_RNA from 1 species
GAAAUGCGAUAAGUAAUGUGAAUUGCAGAAUUCAGUGAAUCAUCGAAUCUUUGAACGCACCUUGCGCUCCUUGGUAUUCCGAGGAGUAUGCCUGUUUGAGUGUCAUGGAAUUCUCAACUCUAUUUGCUUUUGUGAAUAGAGCUUGGAUUUGGAGGUUUAUUGCUGGUACUUGUGAUCGGCUCCUCUUGAAUGCAUUAGCUCGAACCUUUGCGGAUCAGCUAUCGGUGUGAUAAUUGUCUACGCCGUUGCAGUGAAGCAUAUCAAUGGGCUCGGCUUCCAAUCGUCCUUUACUGGACAAUGACUUUGACCUUUGACCUCAAAUCAGGUAGGAUUACCCGCUGAACUUAAGC